rnacentral:tRNA from 1 species
GGCAUUGUGGCUUAGUUGGCUAAAGCACCACUCUUGUAAACCGGAGAUCUUGGGUUCAAAUCCCAUCAGUGCCU